GUCCAUUAUCAUCAUCUUCUUCAUUUUCUUUAUUUAGAACUGAAAACCAUUGUUGAAGAACAUAAAAGAUUCGGUCAGGCUUUGUUGGUGUGCAACUCAAGAAACAAAUCAACCAAACACAAAUCGUGGAAAAACGAAGUUAGUGGAAUAGUCGUCAACAUCGCGUUUGUAAUCGUUUUUAAGGAGGAGUGUGUAGAUUCUAAAACAAUGAAGAAGGAGGUGUGUCUGAAAGGCAAGUACAACGGUUAUUAUUGCACUUAUAGUUGGAGCACAAGGCACAAAUACCAUGACAAUCUUCAGUUUUGUUGCAUCUACACGAAAUGACAGGUCCUCUUGCCUCCGCAAUCAUCUCUGAAUUUGCAACCAAAAUUCCCUUGGAUUAGAUUAAACAAAAAAGAUAAUAUUCAUACCAAAGGAAAUAAAAGAGUUAUAUAAGAAACUAACAAGUUGCAAAGAUUAAGAUGACAGCGAAUAUAAACAAAUUGAAUGAAAACUUCUCCGUCUCUUUAUAUCUAAUCAACUAUGUUGGUGGAAAUUUACAGCUUAUGGCUUUAAUAUAUAUAGUAUCUUAUUUUGUGUC